rnacentral:rRNA from 1 species
UACGGAGGGUGCGAGCGUUAAUCGGAAUUAUUGGGCGUAAAGGGUGCGUAGGUGGUUUAAUAAGUUAGCUGUGAAAUACCUGGGCUUAACCUGGGAGGGUCAGCUAAGACUGUUAGACUUGAGUAUGGGAGAGGGUAGUGGAAUUUCCGGUGUAGCGGUGAAAUGCGUAGAGAUCGGAAGGAACACCAGUGGCGAAGGCGGCUACCUGGCCUAAUACUGACACUGAGGCACGAAAGCGUGGGGAGCAAACAGG